rnacentral:lncRNA from 1 species
CACGUUGGCCAUCUAUGGAAGGACAACAGCAGAGGAACACGCAAGAUUCCUGAAAUGGUAUUCUGAGAUCAUGGUCUUCGUAUGAAUACGCAUUUGUACACGCUAUCAAAGUCCCCCAGGAGUCUUCUUUUCACCAUGACAAGCAGCCCCAGCUCUCAGCCUCUCUUACAGGCUUACAGCGUGUCUUUGCUUAAUGCUAUUGCUGAUUGCCCAGCUGGGACUCUGAGAGACCAUUAAGUGUCUAUUGAUUGUAAUCAGCUUGCCUAUGACAGAUGAAGUUGGCUCUAGUAAGUUUUCCUCUUUUUUUAACCCUUUCUAGUGCCACAAGCCAGGGUCUUCCUGCUCUUAUCU